GCCUGUCAGCAACCAGCUCAUCAGCAGCAAGCCCCAGGACCAGCCCGUCAGCAACCAGCUCAUCAGCAGCCAGCCCCAGGACCAGCCCGUCAGCAACCAGCUCAUCAGCAACCUGCAGGAGAAGAAAUGGGGAUGUAAAAAAUGUGUGAAAUUGAAUGGUCUUCUUGCCCAAGGAAUUGGCCUCCCUGUCUGGCUGCCAAUGUGAUAAGGAUGCAACCAGGGUCAACGAGGAUGGCGGUUCCUCAUGUGCAGAACAUAAAGUCUUCUUUUGGACUGUUCAUCCCAGACACCAUCCAGAAAAUCAUUCUGGACUGCACUCAUUUGGAGGGAAUGUGUGUUUUUGGAGAGAGAUGGAAGGAGAUGGACUAAACUCAUUUACAUGCAUACUUUGGGGUUCUUAUCCUUGCUGGUGUUUUCAGAUUCAAUGGGGGAUCCACAGAAUCCCUGUGGGAUGCAGAAACUGGCAGAGAACUUUUCUGUGCAACAUUGUCUCUGGAAAACUUCCACAUUAUUUCCAGGAUUAUCUGCUUCGAUAACCGAGACAACAGACCAGCUCGGCGGCAGAAAGACAAGCUAGCUGCAAUCAGAACAGUGUGCGACAAGUGGUCGGACCGCCUUCCCCUGUUUUACAACCCUGGGCCCAAUGUUACUGUUGAUGAGCAGCUAAUGCCAUUUAGGAGCCGCUGCCCCUUCAGGCAGUACAUACCUUCUAAACUUGCAAAAUAUGGAAUCAGGAUCUGGGCUGCCUGUGAUGCUGCUUCAUCAUAUGCGUGGAACUUGCAAGUGUAUAUGGGGAAGCCAGAUGGAGGAGCCCCUGAGAAGAACCAAGGGAUGCGGGUUGUCCUGGACGUGACAUGGCCUCCAUGGCCACAACAUCACAUGCAAUAACUUUUUUACUUCGCACAAGCUGGGACAGAAGCUCCUCAAGAGCAAGCUGAUGAUGGCAUUAACAGUACGAAAAAACAAGCCAGAGCUCCCACCUCAGCUGUUGAAUACAUGGAAUAGGCCUAUUAAUUCCUCUAAGUUUGUGUUGACCGCCGACACGCCCCUAGUGUCCUAUGUAACAAAGAAAGACAAAAAUGUGGUACUCAUGAGUACGCUGCAUAGGGAAGGGAGAAUCUGUGGCCAGGAACAUCAAAAAAUCAUAAUGGAUUAUAAUGCCACAAAAUGAGGGGUGGACAAUUUAGACAAGCUGGUGACUGGCUACAGUUGCAAAAGAAGAAACCUACGCUGGCCACUUCUGAUAUUCUUCAACAUCUUGGACAUCUCGUUUGUGUCGUACAACGCGUUUGUUAUCUGGAUGGUGUUGAACCCAGAUUGGAACAGAGGGCAGCUCCAGAGGAGAUGGCUAUUUCUCGAGGAGCUGGUCAAAGCAUUAGUAAGACCUCAAAUCCAGAGGAGGCAACAUAUCUCAAGGACUCCAGCUUCUGCAGCCAUCGUGAGGAGGAUUCAGGAGGAGGAUGCUGGUGCUCAAAUACUGGAAAUAACAGCCGGUAACAACAACAAGAAGCGCUGCGAUGUGUGUGGACCCAAGAAGGACAGGAAGACAGUACACAUGCAUCAAGUGCAAGAAAUACAUUUGCAACACACACGCAGUAAACCUCUGUCCCUCAUGUGGUGUGUAGACUGGCCUUAAUUUGUGUUCAAUGGGGAUCAUUUGUCAUUUCCGUAAAAUACUGUAUGUAAAAUGUGUCCUUCCAAUUUGUUCAGUUCAAAGCAAUAAACAUCAAUAGUGAUGAAAAUCUUGUUUAAUAUAUAUUUGUUUAAGAUAAACAUGAUUUAUUCUACCCAUAUCUUGAUUAUAAAUGACUUUUUUUAAAUACAUUUUAUUUGACAAAAAUAGAGCUUUAAUUGAUAAAUGUGAUCUAGCAGGGGUAAAUGGCAAAUAUGAACCAUGUAUGCUGUCUAUUUGUCUUGUAAUUGAUAUAAGUCAACAUCUAAGUAUGAAGUAUUUUUACAUAAAUGUUUGUCGUAUUGUUUUAAAAACCCAAUAAUGUUGUGGGUCCAUCAGACCCUCGAACAUUGGUGAAUAACAAAAACAUGAAGACCAAACAAGGAUUAACUAAAUGUGAAUAACAUUAUAAUGUGUAUGUGUCAGUCCACGUCCAUGGUUGUUGUCAUGCAUAUAUCUGUACUAUUGUGUAACUAGUAGAAGAGGUAUCAUUUAACUUUAUACUGUUCUGUGAUAAAAGGAAUACAUGUAUGAUGUAACUGAAGCAUGCAGGUUUUUGGACAACAGGACGUAUCUGUUGUGUUAAUCAGCUCAGGAUCGUCAGCUGCCUUCAUUAAUUCAGAGAGAAUCACUGGAAAUCUCACAUGCUGUUGUUAAGUUUAAUUAAAUGCAUUGGUCCAUUUACAAUAUAUAUUUAAAUAUAUAUUCAAUGUGUUAUGAUAUAAAUGACAAUUUUAGUCUUAGUCUUAGUCACCAGUGGUUUCUAGUUUCUGUGACCAGUGGUUUACUGCUGUAAGAGAGGAGAGGUUGAGAAGUUGCCAGGAGAGAUGUUGAAUAUAAUGCAGUUCCGUUACAGCACAUGCACUUCAAUUAAAUACUAUUGUAGCCAG